rnacentral:misc_RNA from 1 species
AAGUGUUUGCUAGAUUUUUUUUUUUCUGGGUAAGUCAUCCAUAAAUAUACUUGCUUUUUAAUUUUUUGUUUGGUAUGAAUUUAUUUGAUGCUUAAAUAUUUUGUAGAUCAAAUAUAUUUACUGCAACUUAUCGAUUUCAAGAUUGAUCAUCAUCCUAUUAGUAAAUAUGGGCCAUGGUUACUUGCCAUGUAGAGCCUAUUAUUGAGGAGAAAUUAUAUGAUAUAACUGUGAUUCUAUGUCAGCAUUUGACAUUUAAUGAUAAAUCAGUUAUAAAAGGAUAAUUAAGUAUAAAGAGAUAGUUAUAAUUAAAAAAAAAAGUUUUUAACACAUCGAUCAAAUCAAAUUUUAUGGAUCUGUUAUAACUUAAUUGUUACUGUAUAAUUAGUUUGUCAUUUCAUAUAUGAUUAUCCAUAUGGAAUAACCGAUUCAUAUUAAGGGAAUCAUAAUUUUAUCUAGAGAUGAGGUGAGAUUGUAUUA